ACCUAGUCCCACCACACCCCCAAGGGUAUUCAGCAGUGAUAGAUAUUGUCUAUAAGCGCUAGCUUGACCCAGUUAUAGAGAAGAGAGCCGGCCAACUUGGUGCCAGCCGCCGCGGCUAGACCAACUGGACUCAAAUUGAUAAUCCUCGGCGUUAAGCGUGAUUAAAGCCAUGAACAAAUUAGAGUUAAACCUACGUUGAGCAGUGAAAAGCACACGAUAGGGAAAUCCAAAAACGAAAGUUAUUCUAAUCCUUGCUUGAAUACACGACAGCUAGGACACAAACUGGGAUUAGAUACCCCACUAUGCCUAGCCGUAAACUAUUAACCUACACCCACCCGCGCCAGGGAACUACGAGCUUUAGCUUAAAACCCAAAGGACUUGACGGUGUCCCACCCAACUAGAGGAGCCUGUUCUAUAAUCGAUGACCCCCGCUCCACCCAACCCCCCCUUGCUUUAUCAGCCUGUAUACCUCCGUCGUAAACCCGCCGUAUGAAUGUACCCAAGCGGAUUUAAUGGUCCCACACCAACACGUCAGGUCAAGGUGCAGCCAAUGGGAGAGGUAAGUGAUGGGCUACAAUUUCUAGUCUAGAACAAACGAAAUUCUGCAUGAAACACAGUUAUGAAGGAGGAUUUAGUAGUAAAAAGAAAGUAGCGUGUUCUUUUUAACAUGGCCCUGGGACGUGUACACA
rnacentral:rRNA from 1 species